CUUUUUCCAGAGAAGAGAAGCUUUACUGGUGUUCCAGCCCUAAGUCUCGCUCUGUUGCUCAGGCUGGAGUGCAAUGGCGCGAUCUCGGCUCACUGCAAGCUCCGCCUCCUGGGUUCACGCCAUUCUCCUGCCUCAGCCUCCAGAGUAGCUGGGACUACAGGCACCCGCCACCGCGCCCGGCUAAUUUUUUUUUUUUUUUAGUAGAGACACGGUUUCACCGUGUUAGCCAGGAUGGUCUCGAUCUCCUGACCUCGUGAUCCGCUCGUCUCGGCUUCCCAAAGUGCUGAGAUUACAGGCUUGCAGGCGUGAGCCACCGCGCCCGGCCGAGUUAAAGUACUUUUUCUGGAACAAAGAAACUUAGCAUAAAUAGUUAAAAUAUUAAGAGUUGUAAUUAAGGGAAAUUUCAGCUCAAUAUGACUUCAACAGUUUAAAAAAUGUAUUAUUUCACAUAAGACCAUGGAGAGAGGAAUUGGAAGCCCCAGAAUUGAUUGGGUCAGAAAUUGAAAAUGAUACUAUCAGUGACCCAGGUUUGAAUGUCUCUCUCCACAGCAUUGACUUCACUAAUGGAUGUGACCUGGUUGGCAGCAGUAGCUUGCACAACAUGCUUGUUUGCAGUGAGUAGUAGAGAGAAGGUUUUGCUUUCCCAGAAACUCUGAAAAAGGUCAUCAAACCUAAAUUUCCUUAGCCUUCUUCUUCCAUGAGCAAAUCACUAGCAGAUGAUUGCUAGCAAGGUGUUACUAUUACAAUGAACCCCUAAGUGUCAGAGAAAGAGUUAGUUUGGGGAAAUAUCCUCUCCACCACAAUCUUAGUCAUUGAAGUC
rnacentral:antisense_RNA from 1 species